AAGUGAUACCGAGAGCAUGAACCAUCGUCCUGGCGAAGAUAAAGGCAAGAAGGACACAAAAACCGAAAAUUUCCGUCAAGGCGAUUUUCAAGAAGAAGUGGACCAAAAGCCGCCCGAGGCCAGCAAGCCGAGCAGCAACGGCAACAGCAAAAGUGAUGGUGACAAAGAGGCACAAAAACCCGAGACAACGACGGUAACAGUCGUCUCAGAGGAGGCACCCAAGGAACAAAAGAAAGGAAAUGAUAACAUUGUCUACGCAGAGUUGACCCUACCCGCCACCUCUUCACCAGUUGCACGACCUCGUGUUGUGGAGGAUAAAACAGAAUACGCUGAAAUCAUCCAUUCAUGAGACUUCAACAAGGACUUUUAAAAUAUUCUGCAAGUCGACUGAUAAUAGUUUUUAAGUUUGUGAAAAAUGCAUGCAUGAUUGAAGUGUAUUUUAAGGAAAUCUUGUCCCUGAGUGUAAAUAUUCCCCACCUUUUAGUUUCACCGAAUUUUAAAUACUGAACAAAUUUACCGUUAGAAAUUUGUACAUGUUAAGAUCCAAACGGAGAUUUUUUUAUAAACUUUGAUUUUAAAUAUUUUAAUAUUCUUUGUCUCAGUUUUUCUUUCAGCCAUGUAGGGUACAAAACCUCUGUUGCUAAACCAUGGAAUGUUAUCUGGGGGCGUCAAUUUUACACUAGGUAUUAUGCCUACGUUGAAUUAAAAUUUCAUAAUUCGAAUUCUACUAGAGUCUCUUGCCAGGUUUUCAACACAUAGAUUUUUGGAGGAUAAUUAAAGUAAGUGUAAUAUUUUAAUACAGGAUGGUAGAAUAGUGCUAGGUCUACACAAUUUUGUGGGGAAAAAUGAAGGCCAAAACUUUUCAUUAGAUUCAAAAUGAAUCAAACUUUGAAUUUACUGAAAAAAAGAAAGAAAAUAUUUGUGAAUUUUUUGGCCUUGAUUUCUCUGCAAAUUAGUGUGGAUACAGCACCGUUUUACCAUCCUGUUACUUAGAGUUGGGGCAAAUUUUUUAGUGUUUUUCUCUCGUCUAAUUCUAAUAUUAAUACCUACUCUAUCUCAAGCAAAAUAGUGCCGAGGCAGGCUCAGAGUCACGUACCUUACAAGAUGCAGAAUUCAAUUUCGGCAAAGAAAACCUUGAGAAAUACAGAGAAUCCCUAAAGAAAAAACUGUAUAAAUAAGAGAAAUGGACAACUUACAGUCAUACUUGUCCAUUAUGUUUAGUUUUGAAUCCUUAAUUGGUUUCAACAGCAAUUCGUCUUUCUUUUUCUUGUGUACUUAAGGGCACAAUUGCAGGAGGGUAAUUCAGAAUUUUGAAAUAUUAAAGCCCCAACAGGUUUACUUCUUUUCGGAAAAAAAAAAUACAGUUGCAUCUCGUUAUAUUUUUCUCAAAACAAAUUCAUUUUUUCAGUUCCUGCCGGCAAUUCUUGUUAAAGUGUUGCUCGAAAAAACCGUUUUUUCCUGCAACAACGUUCUACUUUCAUCCCCAUUAAUUCUACUUCUACUUUUCCUCAUUCUACUUUUAGUUUCCAUUCGUACAAACAAGAUACGACUGUAUAUUUCAAUACAAACCUCGAGAGAAAUAUGUUAGAAGGAUUGAGCCGGCCGGCAAAAAAUUUCAGUAGACAUCAUCCAUUGUCUAUCCCUCUGGAAAUCCUUGCCAAUCGGAGGCCUCCGAUUCAUCUUCAUCCUGUUCAACUCCGAUGAUUUGAAUGUUUGUCCUUCAGGAGAGGGAGUGCCCUUUCCUUACCUAAAAAUUUGAAUAAAAAAAUGAUGCAAUACGCGAAGAAAAGGGCAUCAAAUUGUUUAAAAUGUCAGCUUUUGAUAUUGUAGUCCCACUGUCGAUUACCAGCUUCCUGAUAUUUCUUUUCCUACAUUAAUCGCACUCUGCCUCAGUUUUGUCUUUCAACACACAUUUUCGAUACUCGAUAUGUAAGAGUGGUAUUACCUGGAUAUUAUUUUUUGCCCCGUUUUCUGAUUAGGCUAUGUACAACAUUCGGAAUUUUCUUCCUUCUUCAGGCCAAAAUUUUGAUAGUUGUCUAGCAUUCUUUCCUGUGUGCGUUCGAUUGUAUGGGAGACACAUUAAAAUAUUAGAAAAUCGGAAACGCAUAAGAAAAUAAAAAAUAAAAAUAGAAACACGAACUGACUGAGAAAAAAAUUGACGCAGUCACCCCACACUGGAUCGCGACCGAUUUAUUACUGUUUUUUCCGGUUUCUCUCGGCUCUUGUCCACGAGGCUAAGGAAUGUGGCAUCAUCAGCAGUGUUAUUUAUUGACUCAAUCUGGGUAUUGAGGAUGUUUGCCAGAUGUUUUCGCACGUUCUAUUUCCAUUGUUCUAGUAAGUUCAUUUUUUUUCAACAACAACUAGACAACUAUCAAAAUUUUGGCCUGAAGAAAGAAAGAAAAAAAUUCCGAAAUGAACAUAGCCUAACUCAGAAAUCGAGAAAAACCGAAAACGAACGAAAAAAAAAAAAUAUAUCCAGGUAAUAAUAAUCCAUCCAGUAAAAUGAUAAUCGAUACAAUCUAUUGUAAGAGCGUGGGUUGAUUAAAAAUUAAAUGGGUGUGAAGUAAUAUUUUUAUUAAUAGCUAUAAAUGGAUAUAAGAAUCAAGCAGCAAUGUCUAGAAUCCGCCAUCUUUGACACUCCUUAAUUUUCUAAAGUUCCAUUUUUAAACCGGAGGGUAAUCAGCACUCUAUCGUGAAAUUGUGCAAGCGUAUUUUUUGUAAUCUAGGAGAAGAAAAUCAUAGAAAGUCUUGCGGGAUUAAUGUCCUUAAAUCUCAUUGAAAAAAUAAAACAUGAGUGGAGUUCGAAUUUUGUGAUAAAAAAAAGGGACUUUUUUGGAAGUAGGGGGGGGGCCGCAUUUUCCGGUUUAAAAAGAUCAAUGUGAGGGGGCAGCUAUGUGGGGCUGGGGGAACUAUA
rnacentral:lncRNA from 1 species